GGUGCCAUCGCCAAGUGGUAAGGCCGUAGCCUGCAAAGCUACUAUCCCCAGUUCAAAUCUGGGUGGCACCUCCA
rnacentral:tRNA from 7 species